GGAGGGAUACCAAAGUGGUCAACUGGGGCGGACUGUAAAUCCGCUGGCUUUGCCUUCGUAGGUUCGAAUCCUACUCCCUCCA
rfam:Thermoactinomyces sp. Gus2-1 rep_c377, whole genome shotgun sequence.